rfam:Cavia porcellus supercont2_7 genomic scaffold, whole genome shotgun sequence.
UGGCGCCCAGCGUGGGGGCUCCUGGCACGGGGGAGUUAACGAGGGAGCCGUUAGAGAAUGCCGGCUGAAAGUGAAAGUAAACUGAAUCAAGGCCGAGGCCUGCGCGGAUGACUGCCUGACGUGCUGCCCAAGUCACAGUGAGUGAACGGCAACCCCAUCCCCUUUCCUCGACAAGGGGUCAAGCAUUGAGCGAACAUGAAUUGUUCAUGGGAGGCCUUAGCAAGGCAUUAAAGACAAGAGGGGUAAGGGUUAGAACAAAAGAAUUGUUGCAGUAUUUUCAGUUUAUUCAUAAAGUGUG